AAUCUUCCGCAAUGGACGAAAGUCUGACGGAGCAACGCCGCGUGAGCGAUGAAGGCCUUCGGGUCGUAAAGCUCUGUUGUUAGGGAAGAACACGUACCAUUCGAACAGGGUGGUACCUUGACGGUACCUAACGAGGAAGCCACGGCUUACUACGUGCCGGCAGCCGCGGUAAUACGUAGGUGGCAAUCGUUGUCCGGAAUUAUUGGGCGUAAAGCGCGCGCAGGCGGUCUUUUAAGUCUGAUGUGAAAUCUUGCGGCUCAACCGUAAGCGGUCAUUGGAAACUGGAAGACUUGAGUACAGAAGAGGAGAGUGGAAUUCCACGUGUAGCGGUGAAAUGCGUAGAGAUGUGGAGGAACACCAGUGGCGAAGGCGGCUCUCUGGUCUGUAACUGACGCUGAGGCGCGAAAGCGUGGGGAUCAAAC
rnacentral:rRNA from 1 species